rnacentral:rRNA from 1 species
UACGUAGGGUGCAAGCGUUGUCCGGAAUCAUUGGGCGUAAAGCGCGCGUAGGUGGCUUCGUAAGUCCGUUGUGAAAGUCAAAGGCUCAACCUUUGAAUGCCGAUGGAUACUGCGAAGCUAGAGUACGGAAGAGGAGAGUGGAAUUCCUGGUGUAGCGGUGAAAUGCGCAGAUAUCAGGAAGAACACCAAUGGCGAAGGCAGCUCUCUGGGACGGUACUGACGCUGAGACGCGAAAGCGUGGGGAGCGAACAGG